UCCCAGAGUUGCCAUUCUCAGCAGCUCUUAACAACCUGAAGUGCCCAGAAUUCUUUGAGGGAAAGAAUGAGCUUUCAGUGUACUUUGAAGGUACAAUGUGUACUUAGUCGUAAUGGCACUCAAUGAACUUGUUAAAACUCCUGAGCAAAUGGCGUCUCACUAAAAGACUCUAUUUACACUCCAUUACAUCUUCCCCUCCUUAUCUCCUGUUAACUUACUGUUGAGUGUAACUCAAUUGGUCUUGGCAGCAAGAAAGAUCAAUGGUUCAGGAAUCCAGUCAAGUUCUAAAGACCUAAAAGAUAAUCUUACCCCUUAUAUUCCCAAGCAAUUCCUGUGCUCUGCAGGAAAGGGGGUCCUAUGGCUUCCAUCUAAUCAGCAGGUUUGUGCCUUAGAAAAUUGGAGGCUUAUUAAAUCGAUGAUUGUUUCACUCAUGUUGCGGUGGCCUUUCUUGGCCUGAUGAAAAGUUCCCAUAAAAAUGCAAUAAUCAGUUGGACAUGAAUUGUAUAGUGUCAGAAAUGUCUAAUACGAAAGGAAAAAAAUAUAUAUGAACACUAAAAAAGAAUUUGAAUAAUGACUAGGUUUUUUAAACGGCAGCUUCAGACUCUACCAAUAUUUUCUUCUUGAUGAUUGUCUCAGGAACCAAUCUUACGUAAACUUAUUUCCGGGAAGAGAUCUAGCCAGCUAAUCUUCAUAAAUAAUGCAUCUGACCACUUUUGUGUCAGGGAAGCAUAUUACUUGUGAAAGCAUUUUGAUUAUUAACCACUGUCUCCAUGGAUAAGGAGGAAAAUGCACAUUAGAAAUGCUUCCUGAACUGUUUCCAGCCAUCAAAUUAAGAAUGUAUGAUUGUGGCUUCUCUUGCCGACCAGCUUUACUUGGCAUUAACCAACAACUCAUCACCUAAUUGGCUGUUCUAUUUAUUUGCCCACAUUUAAUAUGCCCACUUCUUUGAUGCCAUUUCUUGUAUAUUUGCUCUAGAGUCCCACCUGUUUAUUGGGCUUGGUGAGAUAUUCCAGGAAAUGCAGAUAUUCCGGGAAUACAUACCGCUCUUUGAUGGAAGCGGGAAAACUAUGGGAGUUUCCUGGGCCAUGAUGCCCAUAAGAUUGAUUUAUCAGAAACCUAUUGAAAGCUAUUAUGGCUGCCAAUAUUUUUAGAGGACAAUUGGAAGGACCAGAACUACAGCAUGGACUGGCCAGAUGCAGAGGAGUGGUGGGAGGCACCAGCUGGGGAACCCCCCAAGAGAAUCCCCAGGGGAAGAAGGCUCAAAGCCAGGGGACUGGUGGUGGAACAAUGAUGAGUGGUCAGGGGGAGAAGAGAGAGCAGACAGCAGACUGGGAUGAGAAGGCGUUGGAAGCUAAGUGGCAACAGGGUUUAGUGAGCAGGAAGAGACUGUGGCAGAGGGCAGUCCAGAAUCAGAGGCAGAAGCGUAGGCUGGAGAGGAGAUGGGGGUAGACUGCUGAAGAAGUCAGGGAGUCUCCACCUCCUGCUGUGAGCAGUUUCCCUCUCCACUGGUCUCCCAGAACACAGAGAGGAAUGAAGAGGGUGGAGCAAAGAGAGACAAGACAAAGAUGCCUCAGGUUACUGGGGAAGGACCUGGUGGGUAGGCGGGGAAGCUGCCUAAGAUGUGUCUGGCUGCUGUAUCUUCUUUUAAAGUAAAAGGAACUGUGGGAUGUAAUCCAUUGGAACAGUCAAGUACAACAUUCCUUAUUUUCCUAGGGUGGGCACAGGCAGGCAGAUGUUACUCCAAUCAGCGUAACUUCCUGUUCCACUGAUCUGGAGCUUCCUCCCCCUGCAUGUGCCCUGGGAGAUGGGCAUGGCGCUGGCUGACUCCAUAAAAGAGCCGAGUCAUGCAGCCAUUUUCUCUCUUGAUUUCUCACUCUUGCUGAUCUCUUGCUUUCCCCACGCUUGAUGCCAUGCUGCUCUCCUGCAGCCAUUUUGUUCUCUUGAUGUAUUUUUGCUGCCUGUUGGCUCUCAGCCAGCAACACAUGAGCUCAAGCUCCAUGUGAGGUGAACUCACAGAUUGUUAUGUAACUACUAAGUAAAGCCUGCCUUUCAGGGACCUAAUCGUGAACUGAAAUGUGAGUGAACUUCUUGUUGCUUUUAAGGAAAGACUCUUGUAUCUUUAUUCUUUUAAGAGGGAUAAAAGGGGACACCAGGAAUAAUCCAUCUGGGCAAGCCAUAUUGGAUUACUUAACUAAAGAGAUUCAAAUGAAUCUGCAAACUAGCUUCCUGCUAUAUUGAAGGGAAUCUGCUCUGCUACCUGGAGGAAGGAUAAUACUUAUUCAAUAUAUCCUUUCCUACAGUCCUUAACAUUCCCACAGGAGCAACUUCCAUUAACAACCAAAUCAGGGAGUGCAUCGGUCUUAGGCACUUGGCAGCUAGUAACAGUGGUCAGUGGGAUGGCGCAGGCAGGGCGAUGCCACACAACUGGCUUCCCAAUGCUGAGCAUCACUGCCGCUUACUGAGAGGGGGGGCAAUUUGUGGGGAGCGCAGCAUGGUUCGGGCGCUGCAGUAGAGGUGUCUAAUUGGCUCUGCCACUCCCUGUCUCCCUCUCGGUAAGUAGCAGUGAUGCUCAGCAUGGCAAAGACAGGUUUGCGACAUAGCUUUCCUUCACCACUCGGCUAACUACUGGUAGCUGGCCUCCCUGGCUUUCUGCAUUUCAAUUAAAGUCCAGGAGAAGAUGUCAGGUGGAAACAUCUCCUGUGCUUUUGUUUCUUUCAGAUCAGGAAGCAUGGGCAGCCAAGGAGGCUACAGAGUGCUGGAGGGAAACAGACACCCCACCCUUGGCCACGUCACUAUCAUAAAGUAACUUCCACCAGAGAUCCACCAAAAUAAUGGAGAAAUCCUAAAGCAUCCUUUAAUGAGGCAGAGAAAUCUCUGAUAGGAGAAGUAAACUUUAUCAAAAAAUUGGAGGACAGGUUUUGGGACAAGACUACAAUGUAAUAUCCUAGUUCUGCUUGUUUUGUGCUGCCAAAAAGUUUAUUGGAUAAUUCCACAAAAAGAGGCCCUUCGUUGGAAUGGUUUUCCAUGGCCCCCCCCCACAGUUGUUGUUUGGGCAGAAUACGUCUUCCAUCUGUUGAUUUAAAUACGGUAUGUUAAUAGAGACAGCUAAUCAGCUACAGACUAGAAUACAAAAAAUAAAAUAAAACCCUACCCCAAAAGUAGAGCUGAUAAAGCUGAAUGUAUCGCAACCAACAUAGCCUGAAAUACCCACAAUGGAGACUGUGACUUGUGUCCUUUUGUGCGCGUAAAGAACAUUCAGUUUAAACUACUGCUCCAAGGUG
rnacentral:lncRNA from 1 species